UGAUUAUUAGAAAACCAUUUUUCAAUUAUGUUAGCACAGCUGAAAACUGUUGUGCUGGUUAAAGAAGCAAUACUACUGGUCUUCUUUAGACUAGUUGAGUAUCUCGAGCAUCAGCAUUUGUGGGUUAGAUUACAGAAUCAAAAUGGCCAGAAACAAAGAACUUUCUUCUGAAACUCAUCAGUCUAUUCUUGGUCUGAGAAAUUAAGGUUAUUCCAUGGGAGAAAUUGCCAAGAAGAAGAAGAAGACAGACACUGGACAGAGGAAGAUUAGAAAAAGGUGUUAUGGAUAGACAAAUCUAAGUUUUGAGGUGGUCGGAUCACAAAAAAGAAUGUGAGAUGCAGAAAAAAUGUGAAGAUGCUGGAGGAGUGCUUGAUGCCAUCUGUCAAGCAUGGUGGAGGCAAUGUGAUGGUCUGGGGGUGUGUUGGUGGUGGUAAAGUGAGAGAUUUGUACAGGGUAAAAGGGAUCUUGAAGAAGGACGGCUAUCACUCCAUUUUGCAACGCCAUGCCCUACCCUGUGGACGGCGCUUAAUUGGAGCCAAUUUUCUUCCUAUAACAGGACAGUGACCCAAAGCACAGCUCCAAACGAUGCAUUAACUAUUUAGGGAAGAAGCAGUCAGCUGGUAUUCUGUCUGUGCUGAACACUCCAUUAUAGUCACCGGAUCUCAACCCAAUUGAGCUGUUGUGGGAGCAGCUUGACCGUAUGGUAAGUAAGAAGUGCCCAUCAAGCCAAUCCAACUUGUGGGAGUUACUUCAGGAAGCAUGGGGUGAAAUCUCUUCAGAUUACCUCAACAAAUUGACAACUAGAAUGCCAAAGGUCUGCAAGGUUGUAAUUGCUGCAAAUGGAGGAUUCUUUGACGAAAGCAAAGUUUGAAGGACACAAUUAUUAUUUCAAUUAAAAAUCAUUAUUUUUAACCUUGUCAACAUCUUGACUAUAUUUCCUAUUCAUUUUUCAACUAAUUUCAAGUACGUUUUCAUGGAAAACAAGAAUUUCUCAGUGACUUCAAACUGUUGAACAGACGUGUAUGUAUGUACAGUUGAAGUCUGAUGUUUACAUGCACCUUAGCCAAAUACAUUUAAACUCAGUUUUUCACAAUUCCUGACAUUUAAUCCCAGUAAAAAUUCCCUGUCUUAAGUCAGUUAGGAUCACCACUUUAUUUUAAGAAUGUGAAAUGACAGAAUAAUAGUAGAGUGAUUUAUUUCAGCUUUUAUUUCUUUCAUCACAUUCCCAGUGGGUCAGAAGUUUACAUACACUCAAUUAGUAUUUGGUAGCAUUGCCUUUAAUUUCUUUAACUUGGGUCAAAUGUUUCAGGUAGCCUUCCACAAGCUUCCCACAAUACUUUGGGAGAAUUUUGGCCCAUUUUUCCUGACAGCUGGUGUAACUGAGUCAGGUUUGUAGGCCUCCUUGCUCACACACGCUUUUUCAGUUCUGCCCACAAAUGUUCUGUAGGAUUGAGGUCAGGGCUUUGUGAUGGCCACUCCAAUACCUUGACUUUGUUGUCCUUAAGCCAUUUUGCCACAACUUUGGAAGUAUGCUUGGGGUCAUUGUCCAUUUGGAAGACCCAUUUGUGACCAAGCUUUAACUUCCUGACUGAUGUCUUGAGAUGUUGCUUCAAUGUAUCCACAUAAUUGUCCUUCCACAUAAUUGUCCUUCCUCAUGAUGCCAUCUAUUUUGUGAAGUGCACCAGUCCCUCCUGCAGCAAAGCAUCCCCACAACAUGAUGCUGCCACCCCCGUUCUUCACGGUUGGGAUGGUGUUCUUCGGCUUGCAGGCGUCCCCCUUUAUCCUCCAAACAUAACAAUGGUCAUUAUGGUCAAACAGUUCUACUUUUGUUUCAUCAGAUCAGAGGACAUUUCUCCAAAAAGUAUAAUCUCUGUCCCCCAUGUAUAGUUGCAAACCGUAGUCUGGCUUUUUUAUGGCGGUUUUGGAGCAGUGGCUUCUUCCUUGCUGAGCGGCCUUUCAGGUUAUGUCAAUAUAGGACUCGUUUUACUGUGGAUAAAGAUAGUUUUGCACCUGUUUCCUCCAGCAUCUUCACAAGGUCCUUUGCUGUUGUUCUGGGAUUGAUUUGCACAUUUCGCACCAAAGUACGUUCAUCUCUAGGAGACAGAACGUGUCUCCUUCCUGAGGGGUAUGACGGCUGCGUGGUCCCAUGGAGUUUAUACUUGCGUACUAUUGUUUGUACAGAUGAACGUUGUACCUUCAGGCAUUUGGAAAUUGCUCCCAAGGAUGAACCAAACUUGUGGAGGUAUACAAUUGUUUUCUGAGGUCUUGGCUGAUUUCUUUAGAUUUGCCCCUGAUGUCAAGCAAAGAGGCACUGAGUUUGAAGGUAGGCCUUGAAAUAGAUCCACAGGUACACCUCCAAUUGACUCAAAUGAUGUCAAUUAUCCUAUCAGAAGCCUAAAGCCAUUACAAUUUUUCUGGAUUUUACCAAGCUGUUUAUUAAAUGCUCAGUCAACUUAGUGUAUGUAAACUUCUGACCCACUGGAAUUGUGAUACAGUGGAAUAUUCUGUCUGUAAACAAUUGUUGGAAAAAUUCCUUGUGUCAUGCACAAAGUAGAUGUCCUAACCGACUUGCCAAAACUAUAGUUUGCAAAAUAAGAAUUUUGUGGAGUGGUUGAAAAAUGAGUUUUCAUGACUCCAACCUAAGUUUAUGUACACUUCCGACUUCAACUGUACGUAUGUAUGCGCACCCAUCUCAUAAUCCAUUGCGGUGGCCAAGCAUAAAUAUGCAUUUAGUCUAGAUCUGAAAAUGUGGUCGGAGGGUGUGACACAAUUUGCGGAGCCUCCAGAGGCAUGAAGAGGCCAAUAAAAGCUCCAUUCUGCAUCCCAAAUUUUUUGCAACAUUGAAGGUCCCCAAUAACACAGUGGCCUUCAUUUUUAAAUGGAAUAAGUUUGGAACCUCGUCCGCUUCCAGCCAACCUGAGCAUUCGGUGAAGGGCCUUGGUCAGGGAGGUGACCAAGAACCCGAUGGUCACUCUGAUAGAGCUCCAGAGUUCCUCUGUGGAGAUGGGAGAACUUUCCAGAAGGACAACCAUCUUUGCCGCACUCCACCAAUCAGGCCAUUACAAAAGCACAUGACAGCCUGUUUGAAGUUUGCCAAAAGGCACCUAAAGACUCAAAUCAUGAGAAACAAGAUUUUCUGGUCUAUUGAAACCAAGAUUGAACUCUUUGGCCUGAGUGCCAAGCGUCACGUCUUGAGGAAACAUGGCACCAUCCCUAUGGUGACGCUUGUUGAUGGUAGCAAAGUACAGAGACAUCCUUGAUGGAAAACCUGCUCCAGAGCAUCCGUACACAGCCAAGACAACGCAGGAGUGGCUUCGGGACAAGUCUCUGAAUGUCCUUAAGUGGCCCAGCCAAUGCCCGGACUUGAACAUCCCUAGGGAAACCUGAAAAUAGCUGUGCAGCGACGCUCCCCAUGCAACCUGACAGCGUUUGAGAAGAUCUGCAGAGAAGGAUGAGAGAAACUCCCCAAAUACAGGUGUGCCAAGCUUGUAGCAUAAUUUGUUUUUGCUUUGUCUUUAUGGGGAUUUGUGUGUAGAUUGUUGAGGGGAUUUUUUUUUAACAGAUUUUAGAAUGAGGCUGUUACGUAACAAAAUGUAUUAAAGUCAAGGGGUCUGAAUACUUCUGAAGGCUGUGUAUGUGUGUGCACACUGGGCAAAAAUAUAAACGCAACAUGGAAAAAGAUGCAAGCAACAUUGGCGAGUCUGGGCACUGAUGGGUGACCUUAUUUUGCAAGGCAGCAGGCAACGACAUGCAGAGUUGAUCCAAUCCUCAUCAGUUUGGGCAAGUCCAAGGGUCUGAAAGUGUAAACCCCACCCACCGGGUGCAAAUUAGUCAUCCUCUCUUUUCCCAAGCGUGUCCGAAAUUGCACAAUCCUGUCCGAUAUCGCUCUACCACAUCCACCUCUUGAUGAGGACGUAACACCUUUGGCUGUAUAUAAAAUACGUGCUUUUUUCUUUUCUCAGAAUUGAAGGCUCCAUCAUACCGGAUUAAAUGUCUGUUAUGUUUACCAAAAGUUCAGGAAACACUAGCGUUCAAGAACUCAUGGUCGACCCUAAAAAAACACCAUUGAGAGAAAGCAUGUACACCAUCUUAAGAAGUAUGGAGAACUGACGGCAAUCACACUGAAGAGAACAUCCCCCAAAGACUCCCUCCACCAUCAAGCAGAACACAUUAGUGAUGACAGUCUCAAAAAUGAUUCGAAGCGGUGGUGAAGUAUGUGGGCUCCAACCAUUGGCUGUUGUAGUACAAGAACCGUUAAGAGUUUGUCCAGGAUCUGCAGCCUAACUCGAAGAUCUUCAAGACCCACACUACGCUCCAGGAUUGAUGAAGCUACCAAGGAAAUGAAGGUGACUGAGGCCAUGAGAGGAGUUGAGCACAUCACCACCACCAACUGAUGGUCUGCAAGAAGACUGAGCUUCAUUGGUGUUACAGCCCAUUGGAUAGACCCUGACAGUCUCAACAGAUGCUCAGCAGCCCUGGCCUGUAAAAGAUUCAGAGGAUCACAAACCUUUGAUGUGUUGGCAGGCGCUCUAAAUCCAUUCUGAGUUUGAAAUCCGGGUCAAGAUUUUGAGAACAGACAACGGCUAUAAUUCCUUAAACUUUCCGAGUUUUUGUAGAAGAUGAAAACAACGAGACAGUAGAAGCAGUGGGUGGUGAAGCAGCAGCUCAGCCAGGACAGGAAGGGGAACAAGAGGAGAGUGAAGAAGUCAAAUUUGUUGAGGUGGCAGCGAUCCUGAAUGACGAUGGUUUUGAGUACCAGCUGCCGAAGCACCAGCGCUGUGCUUGCCACCUGCUCAACUUAGGAUCUACAGUCGAUGCCCUGAAAGCAACAUCUGGUGAGGCUUACAAAAGUGUCCCGAUAAGCAUUUGGCAAGUGCCAAGCACUUUGGAACAUACGGAAGAUGUUCCAAGGUGGAACUCCUGGUUCAUGGCUGUAGAAAUACUCCUGAGGAUCUUCAAAGACAAAGGAUAGGCGGCCGUCAGAGUUCUCUGCACAAUGUUCAAACCAGCUGAACUCGUCUUCGUCAUAGAGUUUGCUGCCACCAUGAGCCCAGUCGCAAAGGCCAUCAACAUCCUGCAGGCUGAAACCAAUGUCCAGAUGGAGUGGCUACUUCCAACUAUCCACCAGCUGAUCACAAAACUUGACUGAAUCAAGUUGUCCCUGAAGUACUGUAAGCCUCUGGUGGAUGCUACAACUGGGACUGAAUCAAGUUGUCCCUGAAGUACUGUACGCCUCUGGUGGAUGCUACAACUGGGACUGAAUCAAGUUGUCCCU